rnacentral:pre_miRNA from 1 species
CAAGUACUCCCUCCGUCCGAAAAUACUUGUCAUCAAAAUGGAUAAAAAGAGAUGUAUCUAGAACUAAAAUACAUCUAGAUACAUCCCCUUUUAUUCAUUUUGAUGACAAGUAUUUUCGGACGGAGGGAGUACUAC